GAAUAUAUGUGAUGAUUUGAAACAGUCUUCUCUCCACUAGCUAGGUAAUUUGAUUAUAGUUAAUUUUAAAAGGUUCUUGGCUUCAAAAAUUAAUACUUUUGUAUAGAUUAUAGGUUAAAAAUUCCAUGUGUUUAAGCCUUUUUCAGAUUUCAUUUUUAGUGAGAUACAGAGGGAAAGAUACCGUGAAUAUAUAUAUAUAGUUCAUGUACAUUUAUUCUUUUAUAUUAGUGCAUU
rnacentral:misc_RNA from 1 species